GUUUAUGUUCAGUAAUAUUGUUCUCUCCUCCUAUAUGUUGUAUUGUAUGCAGGCUCGCAGAAAGGGCUUUGUUUAUGUUCAGUAAUAUUGUUCUCUCCUCCUAUAUGUUGUAUUGUAUGCAGGCUCGCAGAAAGGGCUUUGUUUAUGUUCAGCCUUUUGAUUUGGCGUUUCUGUUUAACGUUGCUUGUGGCAUUGAAUUUAUAUAGACAUGUCAUGCUGCUUCCUAUUCAAGAUACUGAAGGGCCUUUUUUGUGCCUCUCCUUCAGUGGAGUGUUCUCCGCAUAGACAACAGAAGGGUACAGGAGGUAAACAGGAAGUGAACUGUGUGUGUGGUGUGUGAUGUCCCUUCUCACAACAGUCAGCAGUUUCAAGUGCAUCAUUACAUUGGUGUGACCGUGACAGAUAAGGUACAACAUCCAUCCUAUCCGUUUCAUCGGUUUAAAAAAAGAUGCCCCCCCCACACUUUUGAGAUGAAGUUGGAAGAUGAUCUCAUUUAAACUGAAUUGGGGAGAAACUGAGAGCAAUACGCUAUUUAUUAACUACUUGCAUAAGAGUGAGUGUAACUGCUUGCAUAUUUUAAGCAAUUUUUAAAGUUGUACAACUUUUUGAGUAAACAAUUUCAGUGCUUCUUAUAAAUUUAAAAAAUGAAACACCAUACUGACAAUUUGGAUGACAUUUUAGAAUCAGUAACAAAAUCUUUUAGCCAUAUAUACACACUGUGUGUACACAAUGAACAGGAUUCAAUACAAAGUUAAUUAACAAAUCUUACACUUUAUAAUGUAAUUUCAUUAGUGCUAAUGUUCCCCUGUCUAAAAUGUCAACCAAAUUUCGCAAAUGCAUCUGAUGUUUACAAGCAAUCCUGUAGAAAUAUGUUGUUAUUACUGUAAACAGUAUAAUCUCCAGGUCUACAUACUGUAGCUAUAUAGUGUUUCACAUCUAAUUCACAAGUCUACAUCUCUACAUGGCUCUGUAGUGUUUUCACAUCUAAUUCACAGGUCUACAUCUCUACAUGGCUCUGUAGUGUUUUCACAUCUAAUUCACAGGUCUACAUCUCUACAUGGCUCUGUAGUGUUUUCACAUCUAAUUCACAAGUCUACAUCUCUAUAUGGCUCUGUAGUGUUUUCACAUCUGAUUCACAAGUCUACAUGGCUCUGUAGUGUUUUCACAUCUAAUUCACAGGUCUACAUCUCUACAUGGCUCUGUAGUGUUUUCACAUCUAAUUCACAGGUCUACAUCUCUACAUGGCUCUGUAGUGUUUUCACAUCUAAUUCACAAGUCUACAUCUCUACAUGGCUCUGUAGUGUUUUCACAUCUAAUUCACAAGUCUACAUCUCUAUAUGGCUCUGUAGUGUUUUCACAUCUGAUUCACAAGUCUACAUGGCUCUGUAGUGUUUUCACAUCUAAUUCACAGGUCUACAUCUCUACAUGGCUCUGUAGUGUUUUCACAUCUAAUUCACAGGUCUACAUCUCUACAUGGCUCUGUAGUGUUUUCACAUUUAAUUCACAGGUCUACAUCUCUACAUGGCUCUGUAGUGUUUUCACAUUUAAUUCACAGGUCUACAUCUCUACAUGGCUCUGUAGUGUUUUCACAUCUAAUUCACAGGUCUACAUCUCUACAUGGCUCUGUAGUGUUUUCACAUCUAAUUCACAGGUCUACAUCUCUACAUGGCUCUGUAGUGUUUUCACAUCUAAUUUACAAGUCUACAUCUCUAUAUGGCUCUGUAGUGUUUUCUGUGGCUUACUGCCGGUGUAGCACGCCUGUUUGUGUGUGUGUUGUUUCUGUGAGUAUAUCGUAGUUUUAGUAGUCCACUGUAUCAAAACUGCUGUCUGCUUGCCCCGUCCUCAUAUCUAAAGAGCAGGGCAGGCUUCUAAUAAUGGGUACAUGUAGGGGUGUGCGCUUGUGUUUGCUUUACAUCGUCUUGGAUACAGUAAAGUCUGUUUUCUGAUGGUUUGUGUCUUGGUAUGCAUCACAAAUUAGCAACUGACUUUUUGAUGACUUCAUGAUUUUUAAGUGAUGACAUAAUCAACAAAACUUGAGUAUUUAUAGUAGUAACAGUGACAUGGCAAAGCCAUUCUCAUUAGGCUGAUGUCAAACCACAGCUACUGACUACUGUUACCACCUCAGCAGUGAUAUGCAUUCAAUAAGGUACCAGUUGUUUAUGAAAAAGGAUUGCAGCUAUAUGAUGGGUACUGGAUGUGUUUAAACCUCUUAACCUAAUUGUGACAGCAUUGACUAUGAUAUCUUACAAAAUAUAAAUAAGUAUCUAUUUCUUUUGUUUUCUGGGGGGUGGGGGGUGUGGCCUAGCCAGUCUCCAGACCUUAAUCCCAUAGAAAAUAUGUGGAGGGAGCUGAAGGUUUGAGUUGCCAAACAUCAGCCACGAAACCUUAAUGACUUGGAGAAAUCUGCAAAGAGGAGUGGGACAAAAUCCCUCCUGAGAUGUGUGCAAAUCUGGUGGCCAACUACAAGAAACUUCUGACCUCUGUGAUUACCAACAAGGGUUUUGCCACCAAGUACUAAGUUAUGUUUUGCAGAGGGGUCAAAUACUUAUUUCCCUCAUUAAAAUGCAAAUCAAUUUAUAACAUUUUUGACAUGCGUUUUUCUGGAUUUUUUUGUUGUUAUUCUGUCUCUCACUGUUCAAAUAAACCUACCAUUAAAAUUAUAGACGAAUCAUGUCUUUGUCAGUGGGAAAUGUACAAAAUCAGCAGGGGAUCAAAUACUUUUUUCCCUCACUGUAUGUGUGUGUAAAUAUUGUACAUAAUCAAUGCUGUAAUUUGGGGACUCUGUAUGCUUUUUGAUUGAGUGAUGCGUCUCCAGCUUUGUUCAAGCGAUAACUCCAUGUCGUACAUCUGUGUCUCCUCGACUACUGUGUAUAUAAACUUGCAUGCGUGUAUGAAAACGUAUUUUUCUUCUUCUACCAGAAUAAGGUUUUUUUAUUUUUAAAGUUAAUGUGUCACUAUAGUUAGUUUUUGUUUAGCCAUUUUGUUGAAGUGAACAAGGUGUGUGCUCAGAUUAAUAUAGAUGUGUAUAUUAUUGUGAAAGGAAUGCCAAUCGUGGGCAGGUCUAUAAACAUGAAGCUGUGUAGAGAAAUAUUUGCCAAACGAUGCCCUGCGAAUAUUGUUUUAAUUAAAGGGGAUUGGCAGGAAUAGCUGGCAGUGCUGUUUAUGAGCGUCAAGUAUAUGAAAUAAAGAAUGAUGUUCUCUAGCAAAUUAAAUCAUGUGUUCCUCUGGAUAUAAAGCUACACAACAUUGAGUACAUUGCAGCUUACAUAAAUAGGUCUACUGCAGGUCAUUUUGGAGACAAUAUUAUGUCAGAGUGCAUGCACACUGGAGAGCAUGGGCGCAAAAACACUACACCUCAAUAACAAUAGCAUUGUUUAGUUCUCACAAUCACA
ensembl:lncRNA